AGUCGAGCGGGGUGAUGGUGCUUGCACUAUCACCUAGCGGCGGACGGGUGAGUAAUGCUUAGGAAUCUGCCUAUUAGUGGGGGACAACAUUUCGAAAGGAAUGCUAAUACCGCAUACGUCCUACGGGAGAAAGCAGGGGAUCUUCGGACCUUGCGCUAAUAGAUGAGCCUAAGUCGGAUUAGCUAGUUGGUGGGGUAAAGGCCUACCAAGGCGACGAUCUGUAGCGGGUCUGAGAGGAUGAUCCGCCACACUGGGACUGAGACACGGCCCAGACUCCUACGGGAGGCAGCAGUGGGGAAUAUUGGACAAUGGGCGCAAGCCUGAUCCAGCCAUGCCGCGUGUGUGAAGAAGGCCUUAUGGUUGUAAAGCACUUUAAGCGAGGAGGAGGCUACUUUAGAUAAUACCUAGAGAUAGUGGACGUUACUCGCAGAAUAAGCACCGGCUAACUCUGUGCCAGCAGCCGCGGUAAUACAGAGGGUGCAAGCGUUAAUCGGAUUUACUGGGCGUAAAGCGCGCGUAGGCGGCUAAUUAAGUCAAAUGUGAAAUCCCCGAGCUUAACUUGGGAAUUGCAUUCGAUACUGGUUAGCUAGAGUGUGGGAGAGGAUGGUAGAAUUCCAGGUGUAGCGGUGAAAUGCGUAGAGAUCUGGAGGAAUACCGAUGGCGAAGGCAGCCAUCUGGCCUAACACUGACGCUGAGGNGCGAA
rnacentral:rRNA from 1 species